rnacentral:tRNA from 1 species
GCUCCCGUAGCUCAGGGGAUAGAGCGCAAGUCUUCGGAACUUGGCGUCGGGGGUUCGAAUCCCUCCGGGAGCAUCA